GCGCAACAGUCACGAAUCCUUCGCAAUGCGGGAAACCGCGACGAGGGGACUCCCAGUGCCUACGCUCAGCGUAGGCUGUUCCUGAGCCUAGAAAGCUCGGGGAGUAAGGGCUGGGUAAGACGGGUGCCAGCCGCCGCGGUAAUACCCGCAGCCCGAGUGGUGGCCACUAUUAUUGGGCCUAAAGCGUCCGUAGCCGGCCCGGUAAAUGCCUGGGUAAAUCGUGAGGCCUAACCUCACGAAUUCCGGGUAGACUGCCGGGCUAGGGACCGGAGGAGGGAGAGGGGUACUCCAGGGGUAGGGGUGAAAUCCUGUAAUCCCUGGAGGACCACCGGUGGCGAAGGCGCUCUCCUAGGACGGGUCCGACGGUGAGGGACGAAAGCCAGGGGAGCGAACCGGAUUAGAUACCCCUGUAGU
rnacentral:rRNA from 1 species